UGAAGUUCAGCCACUUGUUUUUGUA
rnacentral:misc_RNA from 1 species